rnacentral:rRNA from 1 species
AUUGAACGCUGGCGGCAGGCUUAACACAUGCAAGUCGAGCGGGGUGAUGGUGCUUGCACUAUCACUUAGCGGCGGACGGGUGAGUAAUGCUUAGGAAUCUGCCUAUUAGUGGGGGACAACAUCUCGAAAGGGAUGCUAAUACCGCAUACGUCCUACGGGAGAAAGCAGGGGAUCACUUGUGACCUUGCGCUAAUAGAUGAGCCUAGGUCGGAUUAGCUAGUUGGUGGGGUAAAGGCCUACCAAGGCGACGAUCUGUAGCGGGUCUGAGAGGAUAAGCCGCCACACUGGGACUGAGACACGGCCCAGACUCCUACGGGAGGCAGCAGUGGGGAAUAUUGGACAAUGGGGGGAACCCUGAUCCAGCCAUGCCGCGUGUGUGAAGAAGGCCUUAUGGUUGUAAAGCACUUUAAGCGAGGAGGAGGCUCUUUUGGUUAAUACCCUAGAUGAGUGGACGUUACUCGCAGAAUAAGCACCGGCUAACUCUGUGCCAGCCGCCGCCGUAA